AUGACUACAAGUUCAGAACAGAAUGAGAGGCCUACUAAGCCAAAAAGAAUGAAGGUGAAGGAGAAGACAACUCGAGGAUCAAACAGACAUCCAGAUAUAUUUGCAGACCCAAACAUUAACUCGUCUACAAGUUCAGAACAAAAUGAGGAAUUUGCCAAUCCAACAGAACCAAACAUUAACUCAUCUACAAGUUCAAAACAAAAUAAGGGGCUUGCUAAGCCAAAAGGUUUCAAGUUGAAGGAGAAGACUAUUCAAGGAGCAAGUAGACCUAUUGGUGGCUUAGAGAAAGCAAAAUCAAAGAGGAAAAGGAAAGUAGAUAAUCCUGUAGCACUACAAACUCAUGGCACCUCAAUGGGUCAUUCGGAGGUUUUUAUGAAUCAAAUGCCUACAUAUCUACCACAGUACAACCCAAUCCUAAAUCCUAUGGCGAUGUAUGGACAAGACCAAAGAUUGCCAGCUGAAUUGCAACAUUACAAUAGCUUCAUGGGUCAUUUGGGAGUUCCGACAAAUCACGUUUAUACCUAUUCAGAACAAUGCAACUCAGCUCUGGAUGCCUCACUAUUGCCGUCUCUUGGUACGAUGAUAGGACACCCAGCUCCAAAUGCCUCGCUGCAGCCAUCCGUUGGUACGAUGAGAGGACGCCCAGCUCCGAAUGCCUCGCUGCAGCCAUCCGUUGGUACGAUGAGAGGACGCCCAGCUCCGAAUGCCUCGCUGCAGUCGUCCAUUGGUCAAAAUCAAGUCUUCUUCAAACAACAGAAGCCAACUUAA
rnacentral:rRNA from 1 species